GUGCUCGCUUCAGCCGCACAUGUACUGACAUUGAACGGUACAGAGAAGAUGAGCCUGGCCCGUGUAAGGACAACGUGCAAAUCCGCGAAGCGUUCCAUGUUUUA